rnacentral:lncRNA from 1 species
AAGUGAAAUAGUUUGAAAGAAUUCUAUAUUAUUCACAUCAUUCUGUUUAGUAAUCAGCAUUCAGCAUUCUCAUAUUUCAGUAACCAUUUAUUGGCAAUACGGUGGAAGUAAUAUAACUAACUCAUGUGAGAAUAUAUUUUUGAUGGAGAGAUGCAUAAUGGAUGAGGCUAUUCUGGGCAUGUAAAGAAUGGUAAAAAAAUUUAUUUUUAAUUUUUUGGGACCUUGUUAACCAGUUUUGCUACAUUUACAUUCUGGUUGACAUUCCACAAGUGGCACAUAAUUUUUCCAUUGAUUUGUCCAACACUUAAAAUAAUCAAUGAUCUAGAUUUUGAUAUCUA